UGGGGAAUAUUGGACAAUGGGCGCAAGCCUGAUCCAGCCAUGCCGCGUGAGUGACGAAGGCCUUAGGGUUGUAAAGCUCUUUUGGCGGGGAAGAUAAUGACGGUACCCGCAGAAUAAGCUCCGGCUAACUUCGUGCCAGCAGCCGCGGUAAUACGAAGGGAGCUAGCGUUGUUCGGAAUCACUGGGCGUAAAGCGCACGUAGGCGGAUGUGUCAGUCAGGGGUGAAAUCCCGGAGCUCAACUUCGGAACUGCCCUUGAUACAGCACGUCUUGAGUCCGAUAGAGGUGGGUGGAAUUCCUAGUGUAGAGGUGAAAUUCGUAGAUAUUAGGAAGAACACCGGUGGCGAAGGCGGCCCACUGGACCGGUAUUGACGCUGAGGUGCGAAAGCGUGGGGAGCAAACAGGAUUAGAUACCCAGGUAGUCCCUGAGCGGGCUGGCAAGGCGCAU
rnacentral:rRNA from 1 species